UACGUAGGGGGCAAGCGUUGUCCGGAUUUAUUGGGCGUAAAGAGCGUGUAGGCGGUUUGGUAGGUCCGCUGUGAAAACUCGAGGCUCAACCUCGAGACGCCGGUGGAAACCAUCAGACUAGAGUCCGGAAGAGGCGAGUGGAAUUCCUGGUGUAGCGGUGGAAUGCGCAGAUAUCAGGAGGAACACCAAUAGCGAAGGCAGCUCGCUGGGACGUUACUGACACUGAGGCGCGAAAGCGUGGGGAGCGAACAGG
rnacentral:rRNA from 1 species